CUCGAGGAGCUGGCAAGAAAUGGGAAAGGAUGCACCUUAUCCCUGCAAGGAAGUGUUGGGACAAAGAAUUCUCAAAGGGGAGAGUAUUGACAGGGCAAACCAUUCAAUAUCACAAAUCUGAAGUUGAACGGUUCUAGGAAGACCUAAAGAACUAACACCAAAAAAAGAUGUCCUUUUCAUCAUAUGGGACUGGAAUGCAAAAGUCGGAAGUCAAGCGAUACCUGGAGUAACAGGCAAGUUUGGCCUUGGAGUACAAGAUGAAGCAGGAUAAAGACUAACAGUUUGGCCAAGAGAACGUGCUGGUCAUAGCAAACACACUCUUCCAACAACACAAGUGAAGACUCUACACAUGGACAUCACCAGAUGGUCAAUACUGAAAUCAGAUUGAUUAUAUUCUUUCCAGAUGAAGAUGGAGAAGCUCUAUACAGUCAGCAAAAAUAAGACUGGGAGCUGACUCUGGUUCAGAACAUGAACUCCUUAUUGCAAAAUUCAGACUUGAAGAACAUAGGGAAAACCACUAAGCCAUUCAGGUAUGACCUAAGUCAAAUCUCUUAUGAUUAUGCAGUGGAAGUGACAGAUUCAAGGGAUUAGAUCUGAUAGAGUGCCUGAAGAACUAUGGACAGAAGCCUGUAACAUUGUACAGGAUGCAGUGAUCAAAACCAUCCCCAAGAAAACAGAAAUGCAAAAAGGCAAAAUGGUUGCCUGAGGAGGCCUUACAAAUAGCUGAGAAAAGAGAAGCAAAAGGCAAAGGAGAAAAAGGAAAGAUAUACCCAUUGAAUGCAGAGUCCCAAAGAAUAGCAAAGAGAGAUAAGAAAGCCUUCCUCAGUGAUGAGUACAAAAAAAUAGAAGAAAACAAUAGAAUGGAAAAGACUAGAAAUCUCUUCAAGAAAAUUAGAGAUACCAAGGGAACAUUUCAUGCAAAGAUGGGCACAAUAAAGGACAGAAACAGUGUGUACCUAAUGGAAGCAGAUAAUAAGAGUAAGCAAGAAUACACAGAAGAACUAUACAAAAAAGAUCUUCAUGACCCAGAUAACCACAAUGGUGUGAUCACUCACCUAGAGCCAGACAUCCUGGUGUCUAAAGUCAAGUGGACCUUAGGAAGCAUGACUACAAACUGAGCUGGUGGAGGUGAUGGAAUUCCAAGUGAGCUAUUUCAAAUCCUGAAAGAUGAUGCUGUGAAAGUGCUGCACUCAAUAUGCCAGCAAAUUUGGAAAACUCAGCAGUGACCACAGGACUGGAAAAAGUCAGUUUUCCUUCCAAUCCCAAAGAAGGGCAAUGCCAAAAUAUGUUCAAAUUACUGCACAAUUGCAAUCAUUUCACAUACCAGCAAGGUAAGGC
ensembl:lncRNA